AUACGGAGGGUCCAAGCGUUAUCCGGAAUCAUUGGGUUUAAAGGGUGCGCAGGCGGUUUAAUAAGUCAGUGGUGAAAUCUCGGGGCUCAACCUCGAAACUGCCAUUGAUACUGUUAAACUUGAGUUCAGUUGGAGUAGGCGGAAUGUGUAGUGUAGCGGUGAAAUGCUUAGAUAUUACACAGAACACCGAUAGCGAAGGCAGCUUACUAAACUGAUACUGACGCUGAGGCACGAAAGCGUGGGGAGCGAACAGGAUUAGAAACCCCAGUAGUCC
rnacentral:rRNA from 1 species